rnacentral:rRNA from 1 species
CUCUAUGGCCAUACCACCCUGAACACACCAAUCUUUUCUUAUCAUGGAAGCUAAACAGGGCUGGGCCUGGUUAGUACUUGGAUGGGAAGAGACAAAAUAAGUAAGGUUGAGG